GUUGGCUACGGCGACAUGGCGCCCAAGACCUACAUUGGCAUGUUUGUCGGCGCCCUCUGCGCUCUGGCCGGUGUGCUAACCAUUGCACUGCCAGUGCCCGUCAUUGUUAGCAAC
rfam:Drosophila mojavensis strain TSC#15081-1352.22 Ctg01_10634, whole genome shotgun sequence.